rnacentral:lncRNA from 1 species
GCAGCUGGGAAGGCAAAUGCCAAGGCAAGCUGUUAGCAGCUAGCAGGUGUGGGUGUGGACGGUAACCGGCAGCUGCGGUGUGGUCGUGUGGUGCGGUUGAUCUAUCCGGUAUCCGCCCCGCGCGCUUCUCCGCCAACCAAACCCAACUCCCUCCCCUCCCCUCACCGGCAACCUCUUCUUAUCCCAUCCCAAGGGAGCCCGCCGUCCUCCCCACCAGCCACUCCUUCCCACCACUUCCCAGCCUCCCCACCCCACCAUAGCAAAGGACUAGCAAUGUCGGCGCUCGGCGCCCUCUCCGGCGGCGCCGCCGGUGUCGCUGGCCUCCUCAGCCUCCGCCGCCGUGCAGCCGCGCCACCACCACCCUCUGCGCUCGCCUCCUCGUCGCACCUCCCGCCGCUUAAGUGCGCCGCCGUUCCCGAUGCCGGCCACCUCGUCUGGGGCCGCCAGCUCCGCCCGGCGCUCGCCCUCCUCCCGUUCCCGUCGCAGGCCGCCAGGAAGCAGACCCCACGCCCGCCCGCCGCCGCCUCCGCAGGGUCACUACCUUCCCACCCUUGAUUGUUGUUACUGUGAAUUAAUCAUGUACUGUUCCUGCUUGCAACAACUCGGAUUCUUCUAAAGAUGAUUGCUUGCCACAGGGAGGCCAAGCCCGCUGGUUUCCUCAGCAAGUACCCUGCCCUGGUCACCGGCUUCUUCUUCUUCAUGUGGUACGUUUCACGUUGCGUGCAUUGCGUCUUCUCAGAGCUCAGCUGCUUUGUCGCUAGCUUGUUCAAAGAAAGAUAGCUCCUUGCACAAGUUCUUCUUCUUCUUCUUGUUUUUUUUGAAAAACGUUGUUCUUCUGCAGGUACUUCCUCAACGUCAUAUUCAACAUCCUCAACAAGAAGAUCUACAACUACUUCCCCUACCCAUAGUAAGUCAAACUGCGCUUUCCCAGCACUCUCCUCUUACUCCAUCCGUUCCAAUAUAUCUAAGUGUAUAGCAAAAGCUAUGCACCUAGAAAAACGACAAUUUGGAACGAGGAAUUUGAAACGGAGGGAAAUUAAAACUGUACGUACUGCUCCUUGCAGCUUUGUGUCGGCGAUCCAUCUUUUAGUGGGUGUCGUAUACUGCCUCAUCAGCUGGAGUCUCGGUCUCCCUAAGCGUGCGGUACAACCUCACCCUCCAUAGUUUUUCCUUUUAGGGACCUACUACUACUUACUGCACUAUAGCUUGUUAAUAAAAGGGUUUCUUUUAUGUGAAAAUCUCCUAAUGGGAAUAAAUGAAUGUGUUCAUUACUAGUUCCGUUGCUUGUGCAUAGUCCCUUAAUCCCGAGGCCAUGUAUCUUUCGUGGAAAUCAAUGAUAUAUGAAUCCAACACAAAACCAUCUUUUUUGUAGCCUGUCAAUGCGAAUCUCCUAAAGCUGCUCUUUCCAGUGGCGCUGUGCCAUGCUCUUGGUCAUGUCACAAGCAACGUCUCCUUCGCUGCUGUUGCAGUCUCAUUUGCCCACACUAUUAAAGGUUCUUCUUUUCUUCCCAUUUAUAUUUCACUGUGGAUUCUUCUUGACCCUUUCCUGCUCUGUAUGCUCAUGCUCUUAUGUUUCAUAAUCGCAAUACAGCUCUGGAGCCCUUCUUCAACGCAGCCGCUACUCAGUUUAUCCUUGGACAGCAGGUUCCCUUGUCUCUGUGGCUGUCCCUUGCCCCUGUUGUCAUUGGUAAUUUUCAAUUCAAUCCUCUGAUACUUUUUGCUACUUAAGUUGCUAAUCACAGUAUCUAUUGCAAGGUAAAAUGCAAGAUGGCAUAGUAAGAAUACCUUGAUCUCAUGGUGCAUUAUUUUCUAAGUAGACAUCUUUCUUGUUCAACCAUUCUAACCACAUUAAGAUCACCAGGUGUUUCAAUGGCAUCCCUCACUGAGCUCUCAUUCAACUGGACUGGCUUCAUCAAUGCCAUGAUAUCUAACAUCUCCUUCACUUACAGGAGCAUUUACUCCAAGAAAGCUAUGGUUUGUGCUUCUUUUGUUUUAAUCUCUUAGGUAGCUAUGAUUUGCUUUGUUUUGGACUCUUGCCCUAACUAUUGUACUAAUCAUUUUCAUCAUUGCAGACUGACAUGGAUAGCACCAACGUGUAUGCUUACAUCUCAAUAAUUUCUCUCAUUGUUUGCAUUCCACCUGCACUGAUGGUAAGUGCGAUAAAAUUCCCUCAAAGUAGUAAAAAGGAUCCGUAUGUAUUAGACUUAAUGAUGUUGUUUGUAUGUUUCCAUAACUGUUCAGUUUGAAGGGCCUAAACUGAUGCAGCACGGAUUUAAUGAUGCUAUUGCAAAAGUAGGUCUGCAAAAGUUUGUUACGGACCUUUUCUUAGUUGGACUGUUCUACCAUCUGUAUAACCAGGUAACCGGUUCCUCCAUAUCAUGCAAAUCAUAGAGACACUUCUUAUGUGAAUGAUCUGUCAUUGGUUUUUGAGCUGGCUCUUCACACAAAGUCAUAAUAUUGCACUUUAUUUUAUUUCCUGGGCGAUACAAUCAGCACUUGCUGGUCUACAACUACUUGGUUAUGAUGUUAUGUUACCAAAUAGACGUGCAAUUUUAUGAACUUAACUGUCUUUCAUACGUUAUUAGUAAUCCGAUUGUGGGUUCAUUGCAUGACAGGUUGCUACAAAUACUUUGGAGCGAGUGGCUCCUCUGACACACGCUGUUGGCAAUGUGUUGAAACGUGUGUUUGUCAUUGGUUUUUCAAUCAUUGUUUUUGGUAAGUGAACAGUUCUUCUUUUCCAUGUAAUGAACAGUGCAUAUAUGUCUUCCUGUUGCCCCGUUCUGUCUGACGUGCUUAAGCCUAUCUAACAAUUGCUAAACGCUGCACUGAGCAGGCAACAGAAUCACGACACAAACUGGUAUUGGCACAUCCAUUGCCAUAGCUGGUGUGGCCAUGUACUCUUACAUCAAGGCUAAGAUUGAAGAGGAGAAAAGG